rnacentral:rRNA from 1 species
AAGCUUGCUUCCACUGAGAAGAUAGUGGCGAACGGGUGAGUAACAACGUGGGUAACCUGCCCAUAAGAGGGGGGAUAACAUCCGGAAACGGGUGCUAAUACCGCAUAGUUUUCUUGAUCGCAUGAUCGGAAGGAAAGACGGCCUUUGUGCUGUCGCUUAUGGAUGGACCCGCGGCGUAUUAGUUAGUUGGUGAGGUAACGGCUCACCAAGACGAUGAUACGUAGCCGACCUGAGAGGGUGAUCGGCCACAUUGGGACUGAGACACGGCCCAAACUCCUACGGGAGGCAGCAGUAGGGAAUCUUCCGCAAUGGACGAAAGUCUGACGGAGCAACGCCGCGUGAGUGAAGAAAAGGUUUUCGGAUCGUAAAACUCUGUUGUCAGAGAAGAACAAGUUGGAGAGUAACUGCUCCAGCCUUGACGGUAUCUGACCAGAAAGCCACGGCUAACUACGUGCCAGCCGCCGC